UACGUAGGGAGCAAGCGUUGUCCGGAAUCAUUGGGCGUAAAGCGCGCGUAGGUGGCCCUGUAAGUCCGUUGUGAAAGUCAAAGGCUCAACCUUUGAAAGCCGAUGGAUACUGCAGGACUAGAGUACGGAAGAGGCGAGUGGAAUUCCUGGUGUAGCGGUGGAAUGCGCAGAUAUCAGGAGGAACACCAAUGGCGAAGGCAGCUCGCUGGGACGGUACUGACGCUGAGGCGCGAAAGCGUGGGGAGCAAACAGG
rnacentral:rRNA from 1 species